UGCCUCUGCUUGCAGUCUGUAUUAGGAAAGGGUUUUUUCCCAUGGAUAAUAGACAUUCCAAAGAGUCUCAAAGAGGCAAAGUAUGCAUACAGAGAAGCUCUGGAGUGGCAUUAUGAAAAGUGGAGGCAGAGUUCCCUUCUUGAGCUAUUUCACUUCCCUGCAAGAAACUUUAGCAUGCAGAUGUGACAGCUGUGCUGACGUUUUGAUCUGCCUGUGCUGAUUCAGCCUGUUCCUGCAUCUCACCAUUGCUGUCUUGAUCUGGCAGUGAUUCCUCCCUUAUCAAGGAGCACAUCUUGCUGGCUGGAGGGCUGUUUGCUGGGAGAUGCUCAGGCCCUGGCAGAGUGUGCAGCAAGGUGCACUUAUGGAAGAAGGCUGAGGAAAAGACAUAUGGCUAUCACAGAUUUCAGACUUCUGGACAUUAGUUAUAGGUCUAUGAGGUCAUACCAGAGGAUCUUCGUCAUUCAGAGUCUACACUGAACCCUACCACAGACCAUCACCUACAUAAAUAUGAAGCACUACUGUGGAGAAACUGAUCUGACAGGGAGCAAAAAUACACUGUUGGAAAUAAAUUCGGUGUUAUGCUGAAAGUCAGCCAUGAAACCUUGCGGAAGAUGGUGGGUGAGAAAGCUUCCUUUCCCUAGGAAAAGAACUGACUUCUUUUUGGGACAUCCUCAUUGAGACUCCAGGAGCUGCACCGCAACAUUCCGCACCCUACGUACUGCAGCACACAUGCCUACAGUGCUGAACUGUGGGGGCUGAGGCACUUCUCCAGGAUCCAACUGCAAAGGCUGGGGACAAGGUGGCAUAUGAUGAAAUGGAGCAACUCAGAAAGUGACAGCAGAAACAUCAGAGAAGCAGACAUAGCAAGUAGCAAGGACACGCCAGAGCCAGCAAGGAAAACCCUUGUAGCCUGACCUUGAGAGAAACCUGAGAGAGAUAACUUGAGCUGUGGCUCAAAAGAAGCUUGAAAGUGUGAAAAGAGAAAACACUGACUAUUGUUUUGAUUCCCGCUGCGCCCAGAGUAACGGGACAUUGUGUACAGUCUUUCUAAACAAACAGGCACACAUACAAAAGCUCAAUUCACUCCCUCAUCUGUUUGUUCUCCGAACAGAAACAACAUAUAGGGACCCUAAAUAUUGGUCAACUACCUGGGUCAAGGAGGGUAACAAGAAGUAUUUUAAUAAA